rnacentral:rRNA from 1 species
CGGAUUAGCGGCGGACGGGCGAGUAGCACGUGAGUAACCUGCCUUAGACAUUGGGAUAGCCUCGGGAAACCGGGAUUAAUACCAAAUAAAAUCAUAAUGACACAUGUCAUAACGAUCAAAACUCCGGUGGUCUAAGAUGGACUCGCGUCCCAUUAGCUAGUUGGUAGAGUAAAAGCCUACCAAGGCGACGAUGGGUAGCCGGCCUGAGAGGGUGAACGGCCACAUUGGAACUGAGAAACGGUCCAA